AUCACUAGCACCUCGGGUUAGCUCUUUGACAACUGAAAAAUAAAAAGAAACCUCAACGGAUUACAUCUUGUUCCACCCAGUAUAAGCCAACUGAAGAAGCUCCCAUAAACCUUGGGCUGGAGGCCUUCCAGAAGUGUAUCCACCUUGCUGAGCCAUGACUCCACUCCUCCACUCCCCUGGCCGGGCCCGUCAUUCUGGGUAGGCGGAGUUAUCUUAUGAUGGGGGCUGCUUGGAGUGUGCGCUGAGAGUAAGCUCUACCAGAAAUGCCUAAGGGUAAUCCCCGGAGAUUCGUUUUACAACAGAAUAGACAUUCCAUAAGGAUGAAUCAGAUGCUAAACGACAGUACAACAUUGCAGAUUAUUCCAGGGACUCCUUUUUUAUCUCUGUGUUU